UAGCGUUUACUGUAAUAGGAUCUAAAUCGUACGGGUAAAUUUAUAUUUCCUAUGUGUUUAACCUCACGAUAUGUACUUUCAUUUCCAGAACUAUUAUACGAGGUCCCAUUAAAAAGGAACGUUAGUGGCGUUGAUUUUAUAAUGAAAAAUAAAAAUGAGCCUAUUAUAAAACCAAUGGCAAUUACUUUUUGAGGGAACCGCGGACUUCAAAGAAGCGAGAAGGGUAGGAAUAUGUGCACUAGAUUACAGUAUUGUAGCUUAUACUCUAUACAAACUGUAUAUCAUACUGUUCAGGAGGUGCUGUGUAUGUCCGCUGGGGCAGGAAGACUUGUCCGUCUGGAGCAACAACCGUCUACUCUGGUGUGGCAGGAGGAACGUCUUACAUAACCAGUACAGACGGCGGCGGCACCAACUAUCAGUGUCUGCCGAACAACCCACAGUGGGGGAGGUAUCAGGACGGAGUCAGCGGUUACAGCGCGUACAUGUACGGAGCGGAAUAUCGGGUUGCUACAAACGCUCCGUUCGGCUCCACAUCUCUUGAUGCCCAUGACGUCCCGUGUACAGUCUGCUACGUCCCAACCCGCGGCAGUAAGCUGAUGAUCCCCGCCCGUAACACCUGCCCCACCGGCUGGACGGAGGAGUACGAUGGGUACCUCAUGGCAGCUUCGUACACCCACACUGCCACAGAGUACGUCUGCAUGGAUGACAACCCUGAGACAGUACAAGGCGGGCAAGGAAGACAGACCUCAGCAACGCGGUUCUACCCCGUGGAAGCCCGCUGUGGUGCCCUGCAGUGUCCUAACUACGUGGAAGGGAGGGAACUCACUUGUGUCGUCUGCACCAAAUGAGACUUCAAAUCACCGUGAUAACCUUCACAUAUAAACUAAACGUACUGUCUAUCGUGCAAUUGUGACAGCAAUGGCACACAAAGUUAGUUAUAGAUAUAUGUAACGUUAUAAUUUUUGUCUGUUUGCAAGUUUUGCUUGGCUUAAGAUUAAAUUCAGCUCAUAUUUGCCCCCUUCCACUACGAAUGGAGAAACAGACUGCACAUCAACUGUACAUGUCAGAAAUAAAAUCAUGAUAACCAUCUAGCCUACAUGCAUCGAUGAUAUCUAAUAGUUUCUACUUUUUUUCUGUCUCUUCAGUUUAAAAGAUCUUAGUAAACUUGGCGUAAACAGCCUUUUGUUCGAUGUUCUUAUGAUAUACAUAUUUUCCAAUGCACACAGGUAAUACAUGUAACGUUAUGUAGUUUAUCCAAAUGAAUUUCUUGUUACUGCAUGCAAUGAAAAGCACACUCUCCACCAUUUUGUAUUGUUUUCCUUAUAAUGGUACUUUGGGCCGAUGCUUUGGCUGAAUCGUUAAGAAAAGUCAAACCAGUCAAUAGUGACCGGUAAAGGGACUUCUAGUAGUUAUGAAAGUAAGUACCGUAGAAAACGUUCAUCGCUAUAGCCAAGACAGUGCAUUCUGCCUAACAAUUCUAUAUCCAUAUCUAUCUAAACUGGUAGUUCAUGUAACUUGAUGCAAGCUUUUACUAGGCGGCGGAAGGACGGGGUUGAAUACUGAACGUUAUGUAACGUUAACUAUGUUAUAAAAAAGUUUUCCACCAUUGA